GACGAACGCUGGCGGCGUGCCUAAUACAUGCAAGUUGAGCGCUGAAGGUUGGUACUUGUACCAACUGGAUGAGCAGCGAACGGGUGAGUAACGCGUGGGGAAUCUGCCUUUGAGCGGGGGACAACAUUUGGAAACGAAUGCUAAUACCGCAUAAAAACUUUAAACACAAGUUUUAAGUUUUAAAGAUGCAAUUGCAUCACUCAAAGAUGAUCCCGCGUUGUAUUAGCUAGUUGGUGAGGUAAAGGCUCACCAAGGCGAUGAUACAUAGCCGACCUGAGAGGGUGAUCGGCCAAAUUGGGACUGAGACACGGCCCAAACUCCUACGGGAGGCAGCAGUAGGGAAUCUUCGGCAAUGGACGAAAGUCUGACCGAGCAACGCCGCGUGAGUGAAGAAGGUUUUCGGAUCGUAAAACUCUGUUGGUAGAGAAGAACGUUGGUGAGAGUGGAAAGCUCAUCAAGUGACGGUAACUACCCAGAAAGGGACGGCUAACUACGUG
rnacentral:rRNA from 1 species